rnacentral:rRNA from 1 species
UACGUAGGGGGCUAGCGUUGUCCGGAAUCAUUGGGCGUAAAGCGCGUGUAGGCGGCCCGGUAAGUCCGCUGUGAAAGUCGGGGGCUCAACCCUCGGAUGCCGGUGGAAACUGUCAGGCUCGAGUCCGGAAGAGGCGAGUGGAAUUCCUGGUGUAGCGGUGAAAUGCGCAGAUAUCAGGAGGAACACCAAUGGCGAAGGCAGCUCGCUGGGACGGUACUGACGCUGAGACGCGAAAGCGUGGGGAGCAAACAGG